AGCGAACGCUGGCGGCAGGCCUAACACAUGCAAGUCGAGCGCCCGUAGCAAUACGGGAGCGGCUGACGGGUGAGUAACACGUGGGAACGUACCCUUCGGUUCGGAAUAACCCAGGGAAACUUGGAUUAAUACCGGAUACGUCCGUAAGGAGAAAGAUUUAUCGCCGAAGGAUCGGCCCGCGUCCGAUUAGCUUGUUGGUAGGGUAAUGGCCCACCAAGGCUACGAUCGGUAGCUGGUCUGAGAGGAUGAUCAGCCACACUGGGACUGAGACACGGCCCAGACUCCUACGGGAGGCAGCAGUGGGGAAUAUUGGACAAUGGGCGCAAGCCUGAUCCAGCCAUGCCGCGUGGGUGAUGAAGGCCCUAGGGUUGUAAAGCCCUUUCGGCGGGGAAGAUAAUGACGGUACCCGCAGAAGAAGCCCCGGCUAACUUCGUGCCAGCCGCCGCCGUAAAAC
rnacentral:rRNA from 1 species